CGGAAGUAGCUCAGUUGGUAGAGCAUAGGCUUCCCAAGCCUAGGGUCGCGGGUUCGAGCCCCGUUUUCCG
rnacentral:tRNA from 1 species